UUAUCUCUGUAGAGUCUGCAUAUCAAUAAGCGGAGGAAAAGAAACUAACAAGGAUUCCCCUAGUAACGGCGAGUGAAGCGGGAAGAGCUCAAAUUUGAAAUCUUCAAGGUUUGACCUUGACGAAUUGUAGUUUAAAGAAGUGUUUUCGGUUAGAGGAGUAGUAAAAGUUCUUUGGAAUAGGACAUCAUAGAGGGUGAGAAUCCCGUAUUUGACUAUUCUUUCUAGCUUUGUGAUACACUUUCAAAGAGUCGGAUUGUUUGGGAAUGCAGUCCAAAAUGGGUGGUAAAUUUCAUCUAAAGCUAAAUAUUGGCGAGAGACCGAUAGCGAACAAGUACCGUGAGGGAAAGAUGAAAAGAACUUUGAAAAGAGAGUUAAACAGUACGUGAAAUUGUCAAAAGGGAAGCGUUUGACACCAGUGUUGUUUUUCCGAAAAUCAAUUAAAAAUUGAUUCAUGCCAGGUUGUAUUGACCUUAUCAGCUUGCAAUUUGGUUUUGGGUCUCUUUUUGAUGCACUUUUCGGUUAACAAGUCAACAUCAAUUUCCUUUGCUGUAAAAAGGUAAGAGGAAGGUGGCUUCAAUUUCGGUUGAAGUGUUUAUAGCCUUUUAUCUCUGCAGUCGGGGAGAUUGAGGUCUGCAGCGUAGAUCCUUCGGGGCUAGAUACAUUUAUGCUAAGUUAUAGCUUUUCAUAGACAACUUGUUGACUAUGUUUAGUCAUGUAGCUUACUCGUAAGUGCUAUUUUACCUACGCUUAGGAUGUUGAGCGCAUGUCUCUCUCU
rnacentral:rRNA from 1 species